GGCUCGGGCGGACGCGGCGGCUGCUGCCGGGGAGCGAGCCGGCGGCGCGGGCGAGCCGAGCGCGGUAAGUGCGGCGCCGCCGCCGGCGCGCCCUCCUUCCUUUAUGGGGUCCUAGUGCCGGGCCGCGGCGCCGGGAGCUGGCGGGCGCGAGCUGGGACGGCGCGUGGCCCCGGGAGGCGGCGGACGCGGGGACAUCUUCUCAGCGCGCGGAUUCUCUCCACGGUCCGGCCUCCCCGUCCCCGCCCCGCCCUCGCGCCAGCCACCUCCGGCCGCCGGCUCAGAUCUCUGGAAGGGACUCAACAAAGCUUUCCUAAAUUAAUUGGCUCUGACGGUACCUUCUUAAGGAUUUCUGGUGUGGCUCUGACAUAUAAGCAACUCAGAUAACUACAGAAAACUGUGUGUAAAAAUCAGCCCACCAGUAUUUGAAACAAGUAUGCACUGUUCUUU
rnacentral:lncRNA from 1 species